UACGAAGGGGGCUAGCGUUGUUCGGAUUGACUGGGCGUAAAGGGCGCGUAGGCGGUUCGUACAGUCAGACGUGAAAUUCCUGGGCUCAACCUGGGGGCUGCGUUUGAUACGUGCGGACUUGAGUGCGGAAGGGGCAACUGGAAUUCUCGGUGUAGCGGUGAAAUGCGUAGAUAUCGAGAGGAACACCUGCGGCGAAGGCGGGUUGCUGGGCUGACACUGACGCUGAGGCGCGAAAGCCAGGGGAGCGAACGGG
rnacentral:rRNA from 1 species